rnacentral:rRNA from 1 species
AGUGAACGCUGGCGGUAGGCCUAACACAUGCAAGUCGAACGGCAGCACAGUAAGAGCUUGCUCUUACGGGUGGCGAGUGGCGGACGGGUGAGGAAUACAUCGGAAUCUACUUUUUCGUGGGGGAUAACGUAGGGAAACUUACGCUAAUACCGCAUACGACCUACGGGUGAAAGCAGGGGAUCUUCGCACCUUGCGCGUUUGAAUGAGCCGAUGUCGGAUUAGCUAGUUGGCGGGGUAAAGGCCCACCAAGGCGACGAUCCGUAGCUGGUCUGAGAGGAUGAUCAGCCACACUGGAACUGAGACACGGUCCAGACUCCUACGGGAGGCAGCAGUAGGGAAUAUUGGACAAUGGGCGCAAGCCUGAUCCAGCCAUACCGCGUGGGUGAAGAAGGCCUUCGGGUUGUAAAGCCCUUUUGUUGGGAAAGAAAAGCAGCAGGUUGAUACCCCGCUGUUCUGACGGUACCCAAAGAAUAAGCACCGGCUAACUUCGUG